GGUAAACAACAUUUCAGAUGCACUUUUCAAUUAGUUCUCGAAUCGAGUUGCAUCGGACGAGUCUCUCCCAGCAGCAUGCCCAGUUCACGAGGAUGAAGCGUUUUAGUAGCACAGGGGUAUGUAACAUCACAUAGGCGGUUCUCGCGUUGCGUUAUUUAGCCCGCGCUGCACAGAACACGUUUUCGCGGCGUCUUCCUGGAGGAUUAGUAAACGAUGGACCUGCACAUCUUGGACCACAAAUUACGGGUCACAUCAAUAAGCAAAACGGGACUCCAGCAGUACACACACCCCCUGAUCAAACUGAUAUUUCUCAGAAACAGGACGAGAUGCAAAUUUUUCAGUCUCACAGAGACUCCGGAAAAUUACACAGUUGUCCUCGAUGAGGAGGGAUUUAAAGUAGCUCCUCUUUCAACGCAAGAGCUCCAGCCGUCUGAACACUUACAGGUGGAGGGCUCCACUUGGCUCCCUCUCAAUGUCGUCUCCAAUGGCAACGCCUCCAGCAGCUCACAGGCCGUGGGCGUCACCAAGAUCGCCAAAUCUGUUAUCGCUCCAUUGGCUGAGCAGCAUGUGUCCGUCUUCAUGCUCUCCACCUAUCAAACCGACUUUAUUCUGGUGCGAGAGAAGGACCUGUCGGUGGUGGUGGAGACUCUGGUGGAGGAGUUUAAUAUUUUCAGAGAGGAGGGAGGAGAGUCGGUGCCUGUGCACAGUCAGGACGCCUGCGACAGCCUCCAGCGAAACGGUAGAGAGGUUCCACAUGCAACAGUUCAUCCGGUGCUGAUUCCAGAGAAUCAAUUCUGUGUAAUGAGCUUGGAUCCGGACACACUGCCGGCGAUCGCCACCACCCUCAUAGACGUUCUGUUUUACUCUAACAGUCCUAAAGAGGGCGCCAGUGUUGAUCAGGACAUGGAGUGUAUCAAGUUCUUCUCCUUUUCUCUGAUUGAUGGAUACGUCUCUUUGGUGAUGGACACAGAAGCACAGAGACAAUUCCCUGCUGAUCUUCUCUUCACCAGCUCAUCUGGUGAGCUCUGGAGGAUGGUGAGAAUAGGAGGGCAGCCUCUCGGCUUCGAUGAAUGUGGGAUAGUCGCUCAGAUCUCUCAGCCUCUCGCAGACAGCGAUAUAUCAGCAUAUUAUAUUAGCACCUUCAGCUUUGAUCAUGCUCUGAAAAGCGGAAAUGGUCCGAUUUGACUGAUCACGAGUGGCGGAGUGGUACCUGAAGCGGAUAUACAGCCGUUUUGACGUUUAAGACAUUAGUAUGGUAUGUCCACAUUUUCACUUAACUUCAUCAUCAUUAUGAAAUGAAUAUUAGCCCUAUUAUAGUCUUCACUGGAUGUUUUUAUGCGGUAUUUGCAUUUAUUUACAUGUGAUUUGAUUAGCUACUGCUAUGGUGGAUGAUUUUGGCUAAUGUGCAUCAGAGGGGAUGUAGAAAUGAGUAAGUAAAGCCGACUGAUGAACAGGGUGGUAUACCAACACCUUCUCACUCCCAAGUUUUCACAAAUUACCACUUGGGCAGGACCCUUUGGCCUCAUUUUAUGACGCACGGGGUUCCCCUUCAGUUUUCGCCAUAAAGGUCAUCCAUUAUAUAUACACACAUGCAUAUAACUUCUGCUUCUUCACUCAGUGUAAAUGGGUAUGUGGGUAUAAAUGGGUAGGCUCGCUCAAGACUUGCGAAAGCGAUUAAACCCGGAGUUACGCAAAAAGCGUCGUAGAGCAACACAAGACGCAAGUUUUUCAAAGCCAUAAAAAGAAUGAACGGAAAGGUAGCAAGCAAAUAAAUAUUGCGCCAUAUUGUUGCUGUCGUUGUUGUUGCUCUUUGAAAGGUAAAAAAUGAAUAAACCUUAUUUUUUAAUCAAACUUUUAGGCUAGGCGUGAGCGUCGCGCAACGUUUACGUCAAUCGACACCCCGCCUCCAGCAGCGCGGGAAAACAGAGUCGCUCAAAAUUUUCGAGCUUCUUUUUGCCUUCAAAAGGAGAACGAAAAAGAAUUUCGUUUGAAGUAUAUCUUUUUGAAUAAAUAGUGAUGUUAGUUGUGUCUGGCUGGUAUAUAUUGCGUUUUAUUGACAGACGGUACAUUUAGGGGCAGGGGUUGGGUCGCGCGCUCAUAAAACGUGUAAAUAAUGUAACAUAAAUAAAACUGCUGUGAUUAUUUACAAUGGAAAAUCACACCCCAACAUAUAUGCAAUAAUGGCAGUGUCAUUACCCGAUAUAUAAUUUAAUCAUUUCAAGUAUCUCACGGAGGACCCUGCACGUCAAAACAUUAUGCUAAAGGGCUCUGUGCAUCAAAAAGUGACACCAAAGGGUCCUGACCAAGCGGAAAUAUAUGACAAGAUUUGUCCCACGUAACAUGGAAAUGUCCGACAUGUAACUUUGAACAGAAGAUGACUUAGGAGAAAUAAAAUACACACUGUAUCUCCCACGUAUACUCCCAGGAACUCAUUCACAGGCGACACGGGCAUUCAAGUCAAAUGCAGUCAACGAAUAAUAACAGAAAGCAUGUGAGUGGUGACUUUAUGUCUGCGCGUGUAUUAAAUGCGUCCCAACGCGUGGCCUGAUCAAACUAGCUUACUGUAGGCUGCUCGUACCACAGAACUGAAUUUCGCUCCACAUUGCAUUCACAUUUCAUCAUCUCUCAACUAGAAGUAAAAUCAGGGGUUUCACUGAAUUUAUUCGCAUAUCACAUGAUUGAAUGGCACGAAACGGUGUCCUAAACAGGGACCCCGAGGGCAAGCUUUUUAGGUUCACCCGCGGCCGACUUCAAGAGCCUAAACGUGAUCACCAGAACUCAAGGAAACGUCGAAUCAUUACAUAUCACGCUCAUCUGCUCACAACUAUCCGCAAAGAAGAUAAUUUUGCUACGUUUAAUUGAAAGUGUGUGAGAUAACAUCUUUCUUUUCUUAUGACUAAGCACCCAUAGGCGUAUAAAAGACAAGAUUUGAGCAUGAAAAGGCAUUAUGCUCUGAAGAGUUGCUCUUGCACACCGAGUAAAAAGAAACAGCACAGUGAUUUUUUUUUUUACCAUGGAGCUAAAAACCGGACUUGUGAUUUUCUGGACUUUAAUGAUGAUUCAGGGGAUGACAUGCAGACCGACAAAUGAGCAUAUAUGUCCUUUUAAAAAACGCGUUCAAAGGACAAAGAGCGAAAUGGAAAAGCUCCUGAAAGACUCCGUCUUAAAUGUCGGAAAAAAUGUUAAACCGUUGCCGGAUAUCCCAGAACUUCAGCUGAAAAAUUUGUCCUGCGAAGAGAAAACUAGGAAAGCGCAGUGUGGAGUUGAAUUUAUGCAGGAGGCUGUUCAGCUGAUACUUAAACACCAACUUGAGCAACACGAUGACAACAAGCCCAUUAUUAAAGAGUUAAACACAACUUAUCUUAAUUUAGGGCACACCAAGGUCUGCGUUGCAUCUCAUAUAGGCAAUUGCACAAACGUAACGAUGCCUAACUUCAAGUCUAAUGAAACGUAUCAUAAACAACAGUGGUACGUCACCGUUUUUAAGAACGCUGUGGACUUUCUGGACGAGCUGGUAAAAAUCCAAGAUCAUGCUCCGUGCAGACACCACAAACCCAAACAUGCUUGACUCCCAAGAAAUAAUGCAUUUCAUUUGUCAGCCGCACUUAUUGAUAUACGAAGGUUGGUCACUUCCUCUUAAAGCGGUUCUUUUAUUACUAGAUUUUACAAGAUGUGCUCAUGUUAAUGUUUUAUAUUUAUUUGUACAAUUUAUAUAUUUAUUUUUUAUACACUUUGCAAAAUUUGGUAUUUUUAGGAAAAAAAAUUCUAUUUAAGAUAUUUAUAUUAUUGUCACUUCAUCCAUGUUGUUCUGUAUUGUAAUUUAUUACAAUUAAAUGCAUGUUAUUUAUAAUCAUUUUUUCAGUAUUUUGAUAUGCCGUUUCAUUAUUUUUAAAAUGCUGCCAACAUAUUUAACAUUACAAAUAGUAUUUA